UACGUAGGGUGCAAGCGUUAAUCGGAAUUACUGGGGCGUAAAGGGCGCGUAGGCCGGUAGCAUGUGUGUGAUGUGAAAGCCCCUGGGCUUAACCUGGGAAGUGCAUCGCAAACUAUGUAACUAGAGUAUAUGAGAGGGUGGCGGAAUUCCGGUGUAGCGGUGAAAUGCGCAGAUAUCAGGAGGAACACCGGUGGCGAAGGCGGGUCUCUGGGCAACACUGACGCUGGAGGAAGCGGAAAGCGUGGGGAGCGAACAG
rnacentral:rRNA from 1 species